rnacentral:lncRNA from 1 species
CCAGGAUUACAGGCGUGAGCCUCCCGGCCUGGCCCUGUUCUUUUAAAAAUAGCCGAUCUAACUUCACACUACUACCAAAAGCCAGAUCUGUCCCCAAGCUCUUUCUUCCCACAUCUCCCCUACCUGCUUGAAAGGGGGUGUUAAGACCUCCUCCACACCUGAGCGCCCCCACCCUGUGGCCGCCACCACCAGAACCACCAUCAACUCUGGAGGCCGAUCUGAGGAGAGAAGAGAAGCCAACAACCCCGCAGGAUGAGAGAGCAAUCUCUUUUGUAUCACAGACCCUCCGGAGCAGUUGCGGGAGGGCUGGCUGGGUGCAUGGAAGUAUUUAGCAGGUUCAGUGCCAUUACUGCCUAACAGGGUGUGAAAAGUAAUAUGAAUGUGAAAUACUGUGGGAAAACGGAGAGUUUCCAAAGCAGGCAGCGAGGCCCCUCCGCUGGUGGGCCUGGAAGGCCAGAAUCCCUGCUGCCCCGAGUGCGGCUCCCGGAGGCGCUGCUACUGGCCGAGGACUGCAGAGGGAAUGUCGGGGAGGGGGAGAUGGAUGGAGGGUGAGAUGGGUGGAGGGUGCAGUCCGCCCUGAGAAGAGAGGGAGGGGCAAGCUGGCAGUGCCUGGGAAAAGCCCGAGAAAAGCCCUGUCGGCUCCCUCUUCCUGGCUGCUAAAGUUGACACAAGACGGCUUCUUGGAACUCCCCCUCCUCCCGCCUAAAUGUACAGAGCAAGACUUGAAGUCAAAAGAUAGAUAGCGAUCGUGCUGAAAGUCAGGUGGAAAACAAGACUGCUAAUUUUAUGAAACAACCUAUCAACCCACUGGGAAGAGAUGACAAGAGGUACAUGGGCGCUUCUGCAGGAGGUGGAGGUGGAGGUGAAAUGCCGAGGUUCUAGACUGAUGUAAAUUUCUCCAACUAACUCCAGAUCGAGAGCCUACAAAUCCGACAAAUAUGCCCACACUUUGACAGUAACCGCCUCCCAGCACGCCCCACCACCGCCAACACACAUGGAGGGGUUUGAACUUUUCCACCUUCCGGACCUCUGCAGUCCGUCGCAGGACGCCCAAACCACAGGCCGGACACAGAUGAAGCCAGACCACAGCCCCCGCCCCAGCCACCGCGGUAGGUGGGUGCCCAAGAGACUUCUCAGGCCUAAGGAAAGCAGCCGAUGGCUCCCAAGACAACUCUGUCCGGCCAGUACUCCAGGGCAACUUCAACCCCACUAGGACCCAGGCCAAAACCAUAUAUAUAUAUAUAUAUAUAUAAAUUAACGCAAAACAGAGCCACUUUGGUGCCUACCCCUCCACAAGUAGGUAGGCACAUCCAGGUAGCUCUGUCAGAAGAUGGGACCUGGCGCCUUGCAGGGGUAGCCCUAUGGAGAUCCAGAAGCCCCGUUUCGAGCUACGAAGUCUCUCUUCUACUGCAGUCUUCUCUCCAACGUGGAGAUCUAGCAACUUCCCUCCCCCUGGGAUUCCCUGUGAAUCCACUCUAGUUGGGAUAUAGCCUCUCUACAGCUCAGUGACGUAGCGCGCCAAAACCAAGUACCCACCCCGGCAACUGGAAGACCUAGCUGUCCUCCAUCCCGCCUCCGCAGUCGAUAAUCUCCAGGAUCCAAGCAAAGUGCCUGUCCACGUUGUCACCAGAUCCACAAGCGCUUUUGAUGAGAGCUGCUACCCUUUUGGAAACACGAUUCCCUCUCCCUAGUAGAGAAGAAUCUAUUCUUCUGGGCUGGCGUAGACAAAGAAUAACCAAGAUAAAGUAUGUGGUGUGAAAAUAUCAGCUGCCUCUUCUUUUUUUGUUUUUGAAACGGAGUCUCGCUCUGUCUCCUAGGGUGGAGUGCAGUGGCACUAUCUCUGCUCACUGCAACUUCCGCCUCCUGGAUUCAAGCGAUUCUCCUACCUCAGCCUCUGGAGUAGCUGGGACUAUAGGCGCCCGCCACCACGCCCGGCUAAUUUUUUGUAUAUUUAGUAGAGACGGGGUGGGGGGGUGUUUCACCAUGUUGGCCAGGCUGGUCACGAACUCCUGACCUCAAAUGAUCGGCCCACCUCGACCUCCCAAAGUGCUGGGAUUACAGGCGUGAGCCACCGCGCGCCGGGUGGAAAACAUUAGCUUCUAAUAGCAGUCUUGGAGUGGAGUGAAGACGUUCAGGAAGUGGUGGAGAUAGGCCUGCUCAAUUAACCGGCCCCAGAUAUCAUUUCUCUGGCUACCUCUUUUCUCGCCUGGCCUGGCCCUCUAUACCGUUUUUUGUUUGUUUGUUUUGUUUUGUUUUUUUUCUGCAAAACGUUUUCUGCUGCAACUUUCUCUUUAUUUAUGCCUUUAUCUUUCUUAAACAAGAGGUCCCUGGAAAUAACUAACUAAGGAGGGGAGAGGAACCCCCUCACCCCCAAUUUCAUGAAUGAGUGCUACAUUCAUGCUGGCCGGGUACCAAGAGCAUCUUUAGAUCUUUAGACCUGAGUCUUCUCAUCUGUGAAAAAGAGGUUAAAGCAGAUGAACCCUAAAGGCCCAUUUCCAGUCUUAAAUUCAACACUUUCAAGACAAAACUUUUCUUCUGUAUUCCUGAGUGUGUAUAUAUAUGUUAUGUAAUAUAUAUUAUAAUGUAUAUAUAUAAACUUGGCUUAGUAAUGUUCUGUGCUGAGAUGCAGAUGAGGAGGACAUUUUAAACUUCUAAGGGUGCCCUCCCUCUGGUUGUUUCCUCCCAGACGAGCAUUCUUUGUGGAACAGAAAGAGAUCCUCAGGGUGGAAAGCACCAGAGGCAGGUCUCCUGAAUACGGUGCUGUCCAAGUCUACUCAUGGUCACAUGAUUCAUUAGGACUGUAAAUCCUCAUCAGAACACAAGCAUCAGACUCUCUGACCCUGCCAAUUCAAGUACUAAUGGUAAAAUCGUCCAAGAGGCUGGCCAACAUAUGCACACAUUAAUUAGAGUUAUGUGGGCCUUUGGCUUCCAGUCUGAUGAACAGCUCCAGGGAUGCAGGGGGCAGAGGGUUUGGGGUCCUUUUCACCCAGCAGAUGCCCUUUGGUCCUGAGAGGGCAUUAGUCCAAUACAGUGGGUGAUCUGAAAGCUAACCCCUUUCAGAGGAUGGCUUAACCUCAGCAACUAGGCUAAAACCUAGCAGUGGGUCCCUAAGAGGGACAGGGGAAAAAAAUCUGUUCAGAGGAAAUGAGAAUCAGCAGUAAGCUUUUGUUGUUAUUACUUCAUCUUGUAUUAUUAUGAGACAGGAGUGGGGAGAAGCCCAAGGUGAAAGAAGAGAAAUUUUUGGUAUGCAUGGAAGACGUGGAUACUUAGCAACCCUCUCCCCUGGCACUCAAGUGCACACGCAGAGAAAGUAAUUGCUAUAUUCCAUCUAGAAGCUGAAAAUGCUUUCAACACCAUUUACAAGGAUAAGGGAAGGAGCAGCUGAGGGGAGCAUGGGUUUGAUUCAACUUAACUGCAAUUCUGGCCAGGUACCACAAGUCACAGAGCAUCCCAGAGAGCAGAAUCCCAGAGAGUGUCCCCCAUCCCUGGCAAGGGACACUAUGCAUGGCACUUUUCCUACAAGAUGUGUCCUUUUCUCCAUCCAUAUCUAACUCCUAUGUGGAGGAGAGUCAAGGUCACUCACAGUCUCUAUUAGACUUGGGGAGCAAGACCCCUCAGCCUCUCCAAGGGUCACAUUGAUGUAAAUGAAGGUGUCAUCCGCUCUUGUAGGGAACAGUCACCUCUGGCUUUACCUUCAUGCCUUUUUGAAUUGUAAAGGGCAAAAUGCCUGGAGUCUAUCAAGUCUACACAUAGUUAUUAUACUGCAAAAUUUGUCUCAAUUGUUUUGUGAUAAAUGUGUAUUUCCCAAUCCCCCACCUCCUUCCAUUAUAACCCAUAUGAACCAUCUAUGGACUAGAACAUAGCAAAAAACCUCUCUAUGGUAGGAGAAAAUGUAUUUAUUACUUAUAUGAUGCAAACAAUGUAGACCUUUUCAUUUUGAGUUGGAGAGAGGGGACACACAAAAAUUGAGAAGCCACAUUCCCACAAUUCUAGGCAGAAUUUGAUCUCACUUUUUUACUUCUUUUAUUUCUCUUUCUCCCUUUUUUCUUAUUCUUUGUCCUCAUCCACAGAGAAAAGACAAUCCAAUCUGGAGUCCUAGGGAUUGAUUAUUCCACAUUUGUCCCUAUCUUCUCUUUCCCAAGAGAAGAUCCCUU